AUUGAACGCUGGCGGCAGGCCUAACACAUGCAAGUCGAACGGUAACAGGAAGAAGCUUGCUUCUUUGCUGACGAGUGGCGGACGGGUGAGUAAUGUCUGGGAAACUGCCUGAUGGAGGGGGAUAACUACUGGAAACGGUAGCUAAUACCGCAUAACGUCGCAAGACCAAAAAGGGGGACCUUCGGGCCUCUUGCCAUCGGAUGUGCCCAGAUGGGAUUAGCUAGUAGGUGGGGUAACGGCUCACCUAGGCGACGAUCCCUAGCUGGUCUGAGAGGAUGACCAGCCACACUGGAACUGAGACACGGUCCAGACUCCUACGGGAGGCAGCAGUGGGGAAUAUUGCACAAUGGGCGCAAGCCUGAUGCAGCCAUGCCGCGUGUAUGAAGAAGGCCUUCGGGUUGUAAAGUACUUUCAGCGGGAAGGAAGGGAGUAAAGUUAAUACCUUUGCUCAUUGACGUUACCCGCAGAAGAAGCACCGGCUAACUCCGUG
rnacentral:rRNA from 1 species